rnacentral:rRNA from 1 species
UCGAAAGGGGGGUCAAAAGCGCUCGAAAUCGUAGAGGGGGAAGCGGACCUGACCGACGAGACCUCGUCGUCGCUCGCGCUCGACCCACGCUUCGUCGCGGAGUUCCGGAGGGCUCGCCCCCCGGAGCCGCGGCGCGGCGGGGGUCGGGAGGCGCUCGGCGGCGGGGCCGCUUGCGCGGGACCGGCGUCGCGCCGAACGAGAGGUCGCCUCGGCUCGCCCGAAAGGACGCGCCGGGGGCCGCCCGGAGGCGCGGCGUCGGCCCGAGGGAGAAGGAGAUCGCAUCGCGGGGCAACGGGUCGAACCCGAGGGGCCCGUCGCCGUUCCCGAGCCGCGAGGCUCGGGGCGGAGGCGGGCUCCCCGGCGAGGCUCGACCCCAGGUUUUCGAAUGGCGUAGGCGAGACGGUCCCGUCCGACCCCGUCUCGGAACACGGACCAAGGAGUCUAACGCGCGCGCGAGCGAGAGGGCGAGAGGCCCAUCCGCGCAACGAAAGCGAAUGGCGGGACGCUCUCCCGCAGGGGGGGCGGCU